rnacentral:rRNA from 1 species
AUUGAACGCUGGCGGCAGGCCUAACACAUGCAAGUCGAACGGAGUGGCGGACGGGUGAGUAAUGUCUGGGAAUCUGCCUGGUAGUGGGGGAUAACGACCGGAAACGGUCGCUAAUACCGCAUACUAUCGGAUGUGCCUAGGUGGGAUUAGCUAGUUGGUGGGGUAAAGGCUUACCAAGGCGACGAUCCGUAACUGGUCUGAGAGGAUGAUCAGCCACACUGGAACUGAGACACGGUCCAGACUCCUACGGGAGGCAGCAGUGGGGAAUAUUGGACAAUGGGCGAAAGCCUGAUCCAGCCAUGCCGCGUGUGUGAAGAAGGUCUUCGGAUUGUAAAGCACUUUAAGUUGGGAGGCGUUACCCACAGAAUAAGCACCGGCUAACUUCGUGCCAGCAGCCGCGGUAAUUC